rnacentral:misc_RNA from 1 species
AUCAAUCAAAUUAAAAUUACAAUAAAAUAAUAUUUAUUUAUUUUAAAUCAAUUGAAAAACUAAUAAUAAGUAGAUUAGUGCACAAAAAAUAUACAUGCAUACUAAAUACCGGUCUGCAAAAUUCUAGAUAGUUGUUCUUAUAAUUUGACCAUGCUGAAUAAAUAAGUGAGAAGAAUCAUAGCUCACGAUUAUUCGUUUAAAUAUAAUGAAUAAGAAGUGAUAACAAGAUCUCAGCCGGUUACCUGCUACGCUUUUGGGAAAAAUACUUGGGCAUUCCAUUCCAUCAUGGACCAAGUCGUGCUCGUCGAGUUUGAAGCUGCAACUGAUAAUUUAUAUCCAGCGUUAUUCCAGUGCUUCACUAUCAUUUUAUGCGGGUACAUAGCAGGCCGCCUCAAUGUGGUCUCGGCAACUGAAUCUAAAGGCAUUGCCACAUUUGUGGGUACUUUUGCGUUACCAUCCCUUAUAUUCCUAUCGCUCGCUCAGCUAGACUUCAGCACAGUCAAUUGGACGUUCCUUGGUGCAAUACUUCUGGCUAAAGGCUUGGUAUUCUUCGGUGUUAUGUUAGUCACAAUGCUGGUCUCCAAACCACUGAAUUUGGGAAGAGCAGGAAUAUUUGCAAUUUUCUGUACACAAAGUAACGAUUUUGCUUUGGGAUAUCCAAUUAUUCAUGCAUUGUACCAGAAAACUCAUCCCGAAUAUGCUCUAUAUUUGUACUUGAUGGCACCGAUCUCACUUGCUAUACUGAAUCCUAUUGCUUUUGUUUUAAUGGAAAUCAAUAAACAGAAUGACCAAACCCCAGUAAUUACAAUUGAAGGAGAAUCAAAGUUGUGUCGUUGUAGUAUGAAAUUGUUGAAGAAUAUAGCAAAAGGUAUUGCCUUCAACCCUGUGGUAGUGAUGACUGUUUUGGGUAUUUUUGGUAAUGCUGCAUUCAAACACCAACUUUCUAUUUAUGUAGAAGGACUUUUGGAGGUAUUUGGACAAUCUUUUGCUGCAACAGCAUUGUUCUUGCUGGGCUUGCGCAUGGUAGGGCAGAUACACAGGCUACGAGGACCAGCUCUGUUGCUGCCAUGUGUAUUGAUAAUGGUUAAACUAAUUGUGCUGCCAGUAGUUAUGAGGGAAAGUGUGAGCGCUCUCCAGGCUGGAGCGAAUGAUUCGGAAACCCUAUCCCUUUCCACUUACGCCUUCUUAUAUGGAACAAUACCUACCGCACCAGCAGUGUUCGUCUUUUCCAACUUAUAUCAAUUGGAAAUCGAUUUGAUGGCAUCAUCCAUGGUAAUCUGCACAUUCCUGUCAGCACCAAUGAUGUUCAUGUCUGCGCAAAUGAUAGCUAUAAACAAAGACUAUGCCGAUCAACUAAAGAGGUUUGGCUUCGACCUCUCUAUCGUGUCUCUGGUCGCCUCGAUCUGGAUACUCUUUGUGUUCAUCGUCACUAAGAAGUAUAAACGCAUGCCGCAUAGAUUGACGCUGUGCUUAAUUGUGUCUCAGUUGUUGCUGGCUAUAAGCGUGGUAUGGGGCGGGCCUUUACCAGGGUAUACGCCAUCUUGGCACGCGUCCGUACAACAAUCCCUCAGAAUAUUCAGCAUGUACUCAUGUUUGCUGUGGACCGCUAUGCUCUCCGUUGGACUGCUGAUGUUACAGAGUCGCGGCCCGUGUUUCGUGGUAACCCUAUGGCCGGUGUUAGGGUUCGUAGCGUGGGGCGCUCCUAUCGUCAUGGUGGUGGUGUUACUCGCCACUAAAGGCACCGGCGAUCUCGACUGCAAGGCUACCGAUGCCAUAAGGCUGUGUCUACUUGUCUUCUGUAUUACUGUGACCAUGGGAUGUCUGACCCUGUACAUAAGAUUCAGACGGCGCAGCGCUCACUUCGCGUCGCUGUCCGCCGACUUGGCGACAACUUCAAGCCCUCGCGAAGAGUCCACGAGUUUGAUCGACAACGCCGAACCUGUCUCACAAACGCAAUCUAUAUCUGCCAAUGGGAAUGGGUGCUACGGAACCAUUACGACGACGCCAUCACCAAAUAAACAAUGUUGUUCUGAUGAUCCCAACUGCGAGAAUGGAUUAUCUUCAUCGCAUGAUAUCGAAGACAUUGGUGACGCCAACAGGGACUGCGCGUGUCCUCCGUCUCAGAAGCACCGGUGUCCCCCUGGCGGCGAGUGCCAGUACCUCAGCGAGCUGACCGCGGCCGCCGGAGCCCUAGGGCUCCUGCCGCCCGAGCAGACGCGCGGCCGCGGCGGACAGCUGCUCAAGCACACCGUGCUAACUAUUGUAUACAGCCUCAGCAUGUUCAUAGGCAUAACCUACACGACGUGGCGCAUGAUGUUGAAAGACGAAAGCGGCGUGUUCGUCGAAAUAGAGUUCCUGGACAUAGUGGCGAGCUAUGGUCAGGCGUUAGUCAUGUUCAUACUGUUUGGACUCGACCCGGAGGAAAUAUUCAUACCCGCUAUCCGGUUCGUGAAGAAUAAAUGGUAUGGUGGUGACACCGUGGUACUGCCGUCGGUAGAAGACUUGAGCUUUGAGACCAAACACGUUUGCGACCAGUUUAUUACGCAUCAUCUCGAACGCUGCAGGGAGGCUAUUGCAAAAGAUACAAGGUGGCGUAUGCGCACAUACAGAGGCGUAUUCCGUGGUUCCUGCCUUGUCCGUUGGCUGAUCAGCUGCGGCCUCGCCAAAGACGAUCACGAAGCAGUUCAGUACGGACGACACUUGCUCGACGGACGACUCAUAUCGCACGUGAACAACGCACAUCAUUUUACCAACUCACCGCUACUUUACACGUUCAAGUAAACUGAUAUACCACAGAGUAGUGAACAAAUGGAGUGUUAUAAGGAGGUUACCGGUUUUUUGUGCAAUUGACAGCUGUCAGUUUUCAAGGGAAAAUAGUGUUGUUUGUACUGACUGACAGCAACUGUCAACUGCACAAAAAAUGGUCAUGAAUUUUAAUACUUUUUAAUGUAAUUUAUAAAGAGCAUAGGUACGAUGUAUUUCCAAGUUCCUUUAACAUAAAUAUACAGCGGAUAUCACUCCAUUUGCUUAUAACUCGAUGUUUUAAAAAUGCGACCUUGGCUAUGCUGAAACUGAUAUAUUUCUCAGGCUGGAAUCUAGUGUUAUAAUAUUAUAUAUUUUUAUUGUAUACAUACAUUAUUAAAGAAUAAAAUGUUACUGUACUUCAUGCAUUAAAAUUAUAGAUCUUAAUAAAAUAUAGGUAGAUUACUUUUCUGUUCUACUAUUGUCGGCGAUUGUACUGAUUAAGGAAAAUGUCGGAAAUAAUGUUUUAAGUCUAAUUUAUACGUUGCAAAAUUUGGUGCUUUUUUACGAAUAAUUUAUUGGUACAAACGUUUCUAUGCUAAAGUUGACCAAAAAUUAAGUUAUUGUUUUUUAUGAAGUUGUAAGACAACAUUUUAACAAUUUUUUGUGAUCUUAUGGGGCUUGUGGUAAUUUAUAGACAGUUAAGUAAUUUAGUUUUAGUUCACAUGAUUUCUACAUUAUGAUCUCAACGACACAAAACCAUUUAGUUAUAAGUGAUGUCUAUAGAAAUACUUGUAUUCGUUUUUGCAGUAUGUAUCUGUAAGUGAAAGGUAUUUAUUCAAACCACCCAUUAUAUUACUUUUGAGCUAGCCACUUUUCGUUCUCAGUUUUAUAUUUUCAACCAACUUUCCAAAAAAUAUCUGAAUUGAGAACCAGAGGGGGUUCUCAAUUCAGAUAUUUAUAUUACAUACAUAUUUUAUAUACAUAUUUUUUUUGCAACUCUUAAAACAUGCGGCCAAAUUAUAUACUAUUAUAAUGCAUAAGUCUAUAUGUUCGGAGUUAACCCAGUGGGGCCAGUGGCAGUGGAAAAUAAUGUUUCGCUUCAUGGUACUUAAACAACUGAAUAUAAUUAUUGACUUACGUCGUAGAAACUCUUAUUUAUCUUAUAAACAGCUUACGUUAGUUGCUUAGUUGAAUAUUUUAAAUAAGGAACUUCACCGUCUGUGUUAGUGAGAAUAACAUGAACAAAUAGAAUUAAUAAUUUAAUGAAUCUUUACGAUUCACGUAUAAAUCUAUCUAUAGGUGGCAUUCGGUUUUUAGAGACUGUAAUUUAGUAAGUAUAUAUUUACUUUCAUUUGUACAGCCCAACUUGCUUGCAAAUACAUGUUUCUCCGCCUUUCUUGAAAUGGUUCACUGUCUAUUGGCCACAUAAUCAUGGCGUUUGGGCGACAAAUGAUAAGAAAUCGUGUCUCGAUAUGCAACCGAACCUACCUUCAGAUAUUUCAUUUUAGAAGCUAAAUAAUUUACGCGCAUAAAUUUUUGUGAUGUUAGGCUGUUAUUGUUUGCCCUUGUUGUAGUAAUAAAUAAGAAUAUCAUAAUCAACAUAAUGGUCAUAUUAAACCUAUUUAAGAAUAAUCAAAUCUAUGUUAUUAAUAUUAUAUUGUUGUAUUUUCUGAUUGAGCAUAAAAAAAAUGUUAAAAAAUAUAUUUGUUCAUAUACUGAA